GAGACAUCCUUAUGGGGCAAGACUUGCUUCAGUGGGGCUUUGGUGCUCACUGAAUCUGCCCCCUGAGUGUGUCCCU
rnacentral:pre_miRNA from 1 species